AUUGAACGCUGGCGGCAUGCCUUACACAUGCAAGUCGAACGGCAGCGCGGGGCAACCUGGCGGCGAGUGGCGAACGGGUGAGUAAUAUAUCGGAACGUGCCCUGGAGUGGGGGAUAACGUAGCGAAAGUUACGCUAAUACCGCAUACGAUCCAAGGAUGAAAGCAGGGGACCUUCGGGCCUUGUGCUCCUGGAGCGGCCGAUAUCUGAUUAGCUAGUUGGUGGGGUAAAAGCCUACCAAGGCGACGAUCAGUAGCUGGUCUGAGAGGACGACCAGCCACACUGGAACUGAGACACGGUCCAGACUCCUACGGGAGGCAGCAGUGGGGAAUUUUGGACAAUGGGGGCGAACCCUGAUCCAGCAAUGCCGCGUGUGUGAAG
rnacentral:rRNA from 1 species